rnacentral:rRNA from 1 species
UUCGGCCCUUAGUAAAGAAAAUAACGGGGGAAGUUGACCGCCUGGGGAGUACGGUCGCAAGAUUAAAACUCAAAGGAAUGGACGGGAACCCGCACAAGCGGUGGAUGAUGUGGAUUAAUUCGAUGCAACGCGAAAAACCUUGCCUGGCCUUAACAAGUCUGAAUCCCAAAGAGAUUGGGAGUGCUCGCAAGAGAACCGGAACACAGAUGCAGCAUGGCUGUCGUCAGCUGUGUCGUGAGAUGUUGGGUUAAGUCCCGCAACGAGCGCAACCCUUGACAUUAGGGGCUAAGAAAGGACACUCUAAGGAGGCUGCCGGAGACAAACCGGAGGAAGGUGGGGAUGAAAUCAAGUCCUCAUGGCCCUUAUGAGUAGGGCUUCACACAUCAUACAAUGGUCGGGACAGAGGGUCGCCAACCCGCGAGGGGGAGCUAAUCCCAGAAACCCGAUCGUAGUCCGGAUGGUAGUCUGCAACUCGACUACGUGAAGUCGGAAUCGCUAGUAAUCGCGGAUCAGCAUGCCGCGGUGAAUACGUUCCCGGGUCUUGUACACACCGCCCGUCACACCAUGGGAGUGGGUUUCACCAGAAGUAGUUAGCCUAACCGCAAGGAGGGCGAUUACCACGGUGGGGUUCAUGACUGGGGUGAAGUCGGUAACAAGG